CGGCAUGCUUAACACAUGCAAGUCGACGGCGAGGGGCAACUCGCAGUGGCGGACGGGUGAGUAACGACGUAGGAAUCUAUCCUUGAAUGGGGGACAACCGUGGGAAACUACGGCUAAUACCGCAUGAUGCCUGAGGGCCAAAGACGAAAGUCGUUUGAGGAGGAGCCUGCGUCUGAUUAGGUAGUUGGUGGGGUAAAGGCCUACCAAGCCCUACGAUCAGUAGCUGGUCUGAGAGGAUGAUCAGCCACAUUGGGACUGAGACACGGCCCAAACUCCUACGGGAGGCAGCAGUGGGGAAUAUUGGACAAUGGGCGCAAGCCUGAUCCAGCAAUGCCGCGUGGGUGAAGAAGGUCUUCGGAUUGUAAAGCCCUUUUGGCGGGGACGAUGAUGACGGUACCCGCAGAAUAAGCUCCGGCUAACUUCGUG
rnacentral:rRNA from 1 species